rnacentral:misc_RNA from 1 species
UAACACUUGUAACCCUUUUGAGUGUUAGAAUAAACCACAAACACUCAUCUUUGGGCCCUAGGUUCUAGUUUCCCAACAUUUGAUCUAUGAACAAAGCAAACACGCCCACAAACCUUUGGAGGAAUAAUAUAUGAAUUCUUACCCUUAAGAACUUUUAGAGGACUCUUAAAAGUUUAGUGUGUAAAGAGGCAUUCGAUUAAUAAGAUAUGU